CCUACGGGAGGCAGCAGUGGGGAAUAUUGCGCAAUGGGCGCAAGCCUGACGCAGCGACGCCGCGUGAGGGAUGAAGGUCUUCGGAUCGUAAACCUCUGUCGGCAGGGAAGAACGGUCACUGUACUAAUCAGCAGUGCAUUGACGGUACCUACAAAGAAAGCACCGGCUAACUCCGUGCCAGCAGCCGCGGUAAUACGGAGGGUGCGAGCGUUAAUCGGAAUUUCUGGGCGUAAAGCGCUCGUAGGCGGUAUGUCAAGUCAAGGGUGAAAUCCCCGGGCUCAACCUGGGAACUGCAUUGGAAACUGGCAAACUGGAGUGUGUGAGAGGAUAGUGGAAUUCCAGGUGUAGGAGUGAAAUGCGUAGAUAUGUGGAGGAACAUCAGUGGCGAAGGCGACUAUCUGGCACAUAACUGACGCUGAGGCGCGAAAGCGUGGGUAGCAAACAGGAUUAGAUACCCUUGUAGUC
rnacentral:rRNA from 1 species